AAUAAACGCUGGCGGCAUGCCUAAUACAUGCAAGUCGAACGGGGGUGCUUGCACCCCAGUGGCGAACGGGUGAGUAACACGUAUCCAAUCUGCCUUAAAGUGGGGGAUAGCCUUUGGAAACGAAGGGUAAUACCGCAUGUGAACUUCAAUAUGGCAUCAGAAGAAGUUGAAAGGUCCGUCAGGGCCGCUUUAAGAUGAGGAUGCGGCGUAUUAGCUAGUAGGCGGGGUAAAGGCCCACCUAGGCAAUGAUACGUAGCCGAACUGAGAGGUUGAUCGGCCACAUUGGGACUGAGAUACGGCCCAGACUCCUACGGGAGGCAGCAGUAGGGAAUUUUUCACAAUGGACGAAAGUCUGAUGAAGCAAUGCCGCGUGAGUGAUGACGGUCUUCGGAUUGUAAAGCUCUGUUGUAAGGGAAGAAAAUUUAGGAGAGGAAAUGCUCUUGAGCUUGACGGUACCUUACCAGAAAGCCACGGCUAACUAUGUGCCAGCAGCCGCCGUAA
rnacentral:rRNA from 1 species